GACGAACGCUGGCGGCGUGCCUAAUACAUGCAAGUCGAACGAGAGCGACCGGUGCUUGCACUGGUCAAUCUAGUGGCGAGCGGGUGAGUAACACGUGGGUAACCUGCCCAUCAGAGGGGGAUAACAUCCGGAAACGGAUGCUAAAACCGCAUAGGUCUUCGAACCGCAUGGUUUGAAGAGGAAAAGAGGCGCAAGCUUCUGCUGAUGGAUGGACCCGCGGUGCAUUAGCUAGUUGGUGAGGUAACGGCUCACCAAGGCCGUGAUGCAUAGCCGACCUGAGAGGGUGAUCGGCCACAUUGGGACUGAGACACGGCCCAAACUCCUACGGGAGGCAGCAGUAGGGAAUCUUCCGCAAUGGACGCAAGUCUGACGGAGCAACGCCGCGUGAGUGAAGAAGGUUUUCGGAUCGUAAAACUCUGUUGUUAGAGAAGAACAAGUGCUAGAGUAACUGUUAGCGCCUUGACGGUAUCUAACCAGAAAGCCACGGCUAACUACGUG
rnacentral:rRNA from 1 species